UCCUAGCGGCGGACGGGUGAGUAACACGUGGGCAACCUGCCUCAUAGAGAGGAAUAGCCUUCCGAAAGGGAGAUUAAUACCUCAUAACAUUGCAGUUUCGCAUGGAACAGCAAUUAAAGGAGUAAUCCGCUAUGAGAUGGGCCCGCGGCGCAUUAGCUAGUUGGUGAGGUAACGGCUCACCAAGGCGACGAUGCGUAGCCGACCUGAGAGGGUGAUCGACCACAUUGGGAUUGAGACACGGCCCAGACUCCUACGGGAGGCAGCAGUGGGGAAUAUUGCACAAUGGGGGAAACCCUGAUGCCAGCAACGCCGCGUGAGUGAUGACGGCCUUCGGGUUGUAAAGCUCUGUCUUCAGGGACGAUAAUGACGGUACCUGAGGAGGAAGCCACGGCUAACUACGUGCCAGCCGCCGC
rnacentral:rRNA from 1 species